UGACACAUACAAAUGAUAGGUCAAAACAGUUAAAGCUAAAUUUGGCUGAAUUAUAAAAGGCAAAAGUUGUAAAUCGAAAGAGCCGUUUGGGAGCUGAAAGAGCCGGCUCUUCUUGGUGAGCUGAGCCAAAUGAUCUGGCUCACUAAAAAGAGCCGAAAUUCCCACCACUACUGGACAUUGACAAGCAGCUAACCAAUGUUGGAGCAGGACAAACACACCCCUAUUUAACAGCCUGGAUCAAGAUGUGUACUGCACUUUUAGCCAUCAUUCUUUUACUUCUAUCUAUCUACCUAUUUAUAUUUAUUGUACUUUAUUUUAUCUAAUUCUUUUUAAUCUUGCCUUAAUUUGAUUUGCACCCUGACAUCCAGCCACCCCUCUCAAGUGCACACACUGUACACAGUCACAUGAUAUUGAUCUUGCCUAGUUAUGUUGGCUUUUUAAAAAAGUUUUCUUUCUUUGUUUGUUUAUUUGUUUGUUUAUUUAUUUAUUUUUUCUUUCUUUA